UUAGCGGCGGACGGGUGAGUAACACGUGGGUAACCUGCCUGUAAGACUGGGAUAACUCCGGGAAACCGGGGCUAAUACCGGAUAACUUUUUCCUUCGCAUGAAGGAGAAUUGAAAGGUGGCACUAGCUACCACUUACAGAUGGACCCGCGGCGCAUUAGCUAGUUGGUGAGGUAACGGCUCACCAAGGCGACGAUGCGUAGCCGACUUGAGAGGGUGAUCGGCCACACUGGGACUGAGACACGGCCCAGACUCCUACGGGAGGCAGCAGUAGGGAAUCUUCCGCAAUGGACGAAAGUCUGACGGAGCAACGCCGCGUGAGUGAUGAAGGUUUUCGGAUCGUAAAACUCUGUUGUUAGGGAAGAACAAGUAUCGUUCGAAUAGGGCGGUACCUUGACGGUACCUAACCAGAAAGCCACGGCUAACU
rnacentral:rRNA from 1 species